ACUCCUAUGCCAUUUCUCCUCUCUCUCUGAGGACAGAGGCGCUAAGAAUCUAUUGAAACAAGAUGUCUUUUGAUUGAAGUGCUCCUGGUGUUACUGUUAGAGGAGAAUCUGUUGACAGUAAAACUGUUCCACAGGCUCCUAAUGCCAAGCAACCAGCAGCUCCUCCCAUUUCAAUAAACAGUGAAAUAAAGCUGCCAGACACUAAAAGAAAGAAACUAAAUUAAUAAUAAUAAUUUUGUCAAUAAAUCUCACCAAGAGUGGAUCUCACUAAUGAUUACGAGUGAGAAUGACCACGUGGAAGCACGUGGGUCCUAAUUUGGGGGGAGUGGCCACUGAAAGAAAGAUGUCUGAAUAUUCCAUAAGACAAAGGCUUGUUGGUACUUGGUAGUCAAUCAUUAGUACUGUAGCUCAUAAUCACUUUAAUAAAGUUUUUAAGGAUUUUUGAGGGCCAUUUAAUGAGCUGGAGCGGGCUACAUCAAUCGAUGUCAGUAUGUAUCACUAGCUUUACUGUGACAAGAAAGGAAAUGACAAAACUAUAAGACAACCUCUUUAAGAUGACCGAACAUAAGAAGAGCAGAUCGAAUAACAACCAACAGCAACAAGGAGUUACUUACCACGCCUUAACAGCAUUGAUUUGACGGAGGUGUCCUCAGGUGAUGAAACAGGCGAGGAGGAGAGAGAGAGGAAGAGGCUACAGUCCAACCACUGCCAUGGAUGAGUGGUUUCAUUUAUUAUCUCAUAAAAUGUUUACGGACUCUUUGAAUAUUCUGCAAGACUAUUUCAAGUUCAUUGGUCGUGUCUGUGGAAUGGCAAUAUAUCACAAGAACAUUAUUGAUGACAUAUUAUAUUACGUCAAAGGCUGGUAGUUCAUCAGGUUUCACAGUAUAUAUACUCCACUGCACAUUUUACCUUGAUCAUAUACCUCCUUACAGUCAUGAGGGAGACAAGCUACAUUAGCAGCAAAAGUACUAUCACAGUGCUCUUAUAUUGUGUAGAGAAUUUGAGCUGUUUCUGGGCAAAAUGGAAAUGUUAAUUUUACUGUAAAAAUUUGCU